CCAAAUCGUCAUCUUGUGGUGCCUUAACUAGGAUCUGUAGGUCACCUUCUGGGACUAUAACAUCUAACUCUCCAUAGAUAUCAUCUUGAGGGAGAGUAAUAGCCAUUGAGUUCAUCAUAUCAGUAGUAUGUGGGGCCUUUAUCUUUUAGAAUAGUUCUCUAGCUAGCUGGCAGUCAUACCUGGUCUCCUUUCUUUUCCAUGAGCAUGCGGGAAGGUCAGAUCUUUGAUCAUCUUCUUGAGUUGGACUAAGGAGUUUGGAGGUGGAUGAGCUUAAUGGAGAUAUGGAAAAGGACAG
rnacentral:lncRNA from 1 species